rnacentral:rRNA from 1 species
AUACGGAGGGUCCGAGCGUUAUCCGGAUUUAUUGGGUUUAAAGGGUGCGUAGGCGGUUUUUAUUAAGUCAGCGGUGAAAUUUUCCGGCUCAACCGGGAUACUGCCGUUGAUACUGUAAGGCUAGGAUAUGGUUGCUGUGGGUGGAAUGUGUGGUGUAGCGGUGAAAUGCUUAGAGAUCACACAGAAUAUCGAUUGCGAAGGCAGCUCACAAAGCCAUUAUUGACGCUGAGGCACGAAAGUGUGGGGAUC